UACGUAGGGGGCAAGCGUUGUCCGGAAUUAUUGGGCGUAAAGAGCGCGUAGGCGGUCCGAUAAGUCGGCUGUGAAAGUCUAGGGCUCAACCCUGGAAAGCCGGCCGAUACUGUCGGACUAGAGUCCGGAAGAGGCGAGUGGAAUUCCCGGUGUAGCGGUGAAAUGCGCAGAUAUCGGGAGGAACACCAAUGGCGAAGGCAGCUCUCUGGUACAUGAUUGACGCUGAGACGCGAAAGCGUGGGGAGCGAACAGG
rnacentral:rRNA from 1 species